AUUGAACGCUGGCGGCAGGCCUAACACAUGCAAGUCGAACGAGUGGCGGACGGGUGAGUAAUGUCUGGGAAACUGCCUGAUGGAGGGGGAUAACUACUGGAAACGGUAGCUAAUACCGCAUAUCAUCGGAUGUGCCCAGAUGGGAUUGGCUAGUAGGUGGGGUAAAGGCUCACCUAGGCGACGAUGCCUAGCUGGUCUGAGAGGUUGACCAGCCACAAGGAAACUGAGACACGGUCCAGACUCCUACGGGAGGCAGCAGUGGGGAAUAAUGCACAAUGGGCGCAAGCCUGAUGCAGCCAUGCCGCGUGUAUGAAGAAGGCCUUCGGGUUGUAAAGUUCUUUCAGCGGGGAGGCGUUAACCGCAGAAGAAGGACCGGCUAACUCCGUGCCAGCAGCCGCGGUAAGUC
rnacentral:rRNA from 1 species